GAUGAACGCUGGCGGCGUGCCUAACACAUGCAAGUCGAGCGGGAUUCAUGAGGACGAAACUUCGGUCUAGAAAUCAUGAUGAGAGCGGCGGACGGGUGAGUAACGCGUAGGCAACCUGCCCUUAGCACAGGGAUAGCCUCGGGAAACCGGGAUUAAAACCUGAUAAUGCCAAACAGUCACAUGGCUGUUUGGCCAAAGAUUUAUCGGCUAAGGAUGGGCCUGCGUCUGAUUAGUUAGUUGGUGGGGUAACGGCCUACCAAGACGACGAUCAGUAGCCGACCUGAGAGGAUGAUCAGCCACACUGGGACUGAGACACGGCCCAGACUCCUACGGAGGCAGCAGUGGGGAAUCUUAGACAAUGGGGGAAACCCUGAUCUAGCCAUGCCGCGUGAUCGAUGAAGGCCUUAGGGUUGUAAAGAUCUUUCAGUGGGGAAGAUAAUGACUGUACCCACAGAAGAAGCCCCGGCUAACUCCGUGCCAGCCGCCGCUGUAACAC
rnacentral:rRNA from 1 species